rnacentral:rRNA from 1 species
GGGAUUGCCUCAGUACCGGCGAGUGAAGCGGCAACAGCUCAAAUUUGAAAUCUGGCCCCCUCGGGGUCCGAGUUGUAAUUUGUAGAGAGUGCUUCGGAGGAGACCGCGGUCUAAGUCCAUUGGAACAUGGCGUCAUAGAGGGUGAGAAUCCCGUAUGUGACUGUGGCUCGAACCCGUGUGAAGCCUCUUCGACGAGUCGAGUUGUUUGGGAAUGCAGCUCAAAAUGGGUGGUAAAUUUCAUCUAAAGCUAAAUACUGGCUGGAGACCGAUAGCGCACAAGUAGAGUGAUCGAAAGAUGAAAAGCACUUUGGAAAGAGAGUUAAAAAGUACGUGAAAUUGUUGAAAGGGAAGCGCUGGCAACCAGACCUGUCCGUAGGCGAUCAGCCGCUGUUCUCAGUGGUGCACUCGCUCUGCGAUCAGGCCAGCAUCGGUUUCGGCGGUCGGAUAAAGGCCUUGGGAAUGUAGCUUCCCCUCGGGGGAGUCUUAUAGCCCUCGGUGCAAUGCGGCCAGCCGGGACCGAGGACCGCGCUUCGGCUAGGAUGCUGGCGUAAUGGUUGUCAGCGACCCGUCUUGAAACACGGACCAAGGAGUCUAAUAUCUAUGCGAGUGUUUGGGUGUCAAACCCAUACGCGGAAUGAAAGUGAACGGAGGUGAGAACCCUUAAGGGCGCAUCAUCGACCGAUCCAGAUGUCUUCGGAUGGAUUUGAGUAUGAGCAUAAAUAUUGGGACCCGAAAGAUGGUGAACUAUGCCUGAAUAGGGUGAAGCCAGAGGAAACUCUGGUGGAGGCUCGCAGCGGUUCUGACGUGCAAAUCGAUCGUCAAAUUUGGGUAUAGGGGCGAAAGACUAAUC